rnacentral:ncRNA from 2 species
UGAAUAAUCUGUUCCACAGGUGCCGGGGUGUCCCCCGGCUUAAAAGGGAAGACCGGUGAAAAUCCGGCACGGUCCCGCCACUGUAAUUGGGAGCGGAGCUGCAGCAGCCACUAUCAUAGUCGAUGGGAAGGCGCAGCCCGCCGUGAUCAUAAGUCAGGAGACCUGCCUCUGGAACCCGCACUAG